rnacentral:rRNA from 1 species
GACGGAGGGUGCUAGCGUUGUUCGGAAUUACUGGGCGUAAAGCGUGCGCAGGCGGUUGGCAAAGUCAGCUGUGAAAGCCCCGGGCUCAACCUGGGAAUUGCGGUUGAAACUAGUCGACUAGAAUCUGGCAGAGGGGGGUGGAAUUCCACGUGUAGCAGUGAAAUGCGUAGAGAUGUGGAGGAACACCGAUGGCGAAGGCAGCCCCCUGGGCUGAGAUUGACGCUCAGGCACGAAAGCGUGGGGAGCAAACAGG